UCUCCACCCUGAAGUUCAAUUGUUAGCCGAGGUUGUUGGCAAAUGAAUGCAUAAGGACUAUCUUUAAGGACAUGAGAUACUAGGAUUUCAUCCCAGUGACUGCAAAUGGAGGAACAUCAGGUUAUGGUAAAAUGGCAGAGUGUUUCCAGUUCAGCAGUGCAGCUGCCCUUUAUCUGAUACUCAGGAACAAAGCUGGUGCAGGCAGCAGAGGAGAAAGCACAAAGAUGUUUAAGGAAAAAUUGGGCUGAUGGACAAUAAAGGAUGGCAUUGCUGGUGGAGUAGAGGCC